rnacentral:lncRNA from 1 species
GAAAAGCAUUAUUAUAUUAUCAUUAUAUUGUACAGUGUAAUUAUAAGGAUUUCUAACAAAUCGAAUGUGCUUCAAAUGUUUGAUUUUAAUAAACAAAACACAUUGAAUAUAACAUGUGUGCAAAAUAACACAUGUAAGAAAUAUGACAAACAAAAUUGAUUCAGAACAAAAUGAAUUUCAUGACGGCAAAUAUGAAAUAUACUGUUACUGGAAACGACAGUUCCUUUAUGUGUGACUCAUCUUCCUUUAUUAUAUCAAACAUGUAUGUCUACAAAUACAUUUGAAUAUUUGACGUUCCAUUUGAAUAUGGACGGAUAGUGUAGUUCAUUUCAAAAUGAUGAUAUUAGUAAAAUACAAUAAUAUAAUCGGUGAUUUUAAUUUUUAAUGACUUAUUUUCACCGGUAUAAUUCGAAAAUUUAUUGCUAGUAACAAUUUUUUCCCUUUUUUAACUUUGCAAAAGAGAGGCAAAUGAUUUCAAAAAGAUAAUCAAACUGAUAAAGCUAAAACAACCAGACAAUGAAAUAAAAA